UGUCAAAAUCUUGCAUCACCUCU
rnacentral:snRNA from 1 species